UGCAGAUGACCCUUCUAUGUUUGCUGCAGCAGUGAUGGGUGCACCAGAUAGAGAUCGGUUCUUUACCUGUCCCUCAGGUUGGGUCCGAUACAAGAGCAGCUGCUAUUUAUAUGUGAGCUCUGCCCAGUCCUGGAGCACGCUGAGGCCAACUGUGACAGGCUGGGAGCCUCCUGGCUUCUGGCAAUGAUGCGUUUGAUUACGCUUUCCUCCAGUCACUCACUAAAGAAGCAUCGAGCGUCGCAGCCUGGACCGGAGGCUACUUCUUC